GCCAGCAGUCAUAUCACCCUGCAGCUCACAACGGGCAACCCACUGAAGCCAAACGGGUAUGAGCCUGGUCAGUACCUGGAUGGGAGACCUCCUGGGAAAAACUAAGGUUGCUGCUGGAU
rnacentral:rRNA from 1 species